rnacentral:rRNA from 1 species
GAGCUCUCAAUCUGUCAAUCCUUCCAGUGUCCGGGCCUGGUGAGAUUUCCCGUGUUGAGUCAAAUUAAGCCGCAGGCUCCACUCCUGGUGGUGCCCUUCCGUCAAUUCCUUUAAGUUUCAGCUUUGCAACCAUACUUCCCCCGGAACCCAAAACCUUUGGUUUCCCGGAAGCUGCCCGGAGAGCCUACAAUCUGCGUCUCCGGAUCGCUAGGUGGCAUCGUUUAUGGUUAGAACUAGGGCGGUAUCUGAUCGCCAUCGAACCUCUAACUUUCGUUCUUGAUUAAUGAAAACAUUCUUGGCAAAUGCUUUCGCAGUAGUUAGUCUUCAGACGGUCCAAGAAUUUCACCUCUGUCGUCUGAAUACUAAUGCCCCCGACUGUCCCUGUUAAUCAUUACGUCGAUUUCCGAAAACCAACAAAAUAGAAACGACGUCCUAUUCUAUUAUUCCAUGCACGAAUAUUCAAGCGUGUAAAGCCUGCUUUGAGCACUCUAAUUUUUUCAAAGUAAACCUGACGGCACCCCGAGACACCCGAUUAAGAGCACCUUGGAGCCUCCGCCAAAAACACGAGCAAAUGGGGCAGUAGCGACGAAUAUCGAACCGCCCCCUGCUCGCCGAAAUCCAACUACGAGCUUUUUAACCGCAACAACUUUAAUAUACGCUAUUGGAGCUGGAAU